rnacentral:rRNA from 1 species
CUUUACUGUAGCCUGGUAUUGGGUUCGGGCUUUGACUGCGCAGGAUAGGUGGGAGACUAUGAAGCUGCCCUUGUGGGGGCAGUGGAGUCAUCAGUGAGAUACCACUCUGUCAAGGCUAGAAUUCUAACCGUCUGCCGUUAUCCGGCGACGGAACAGUAUCAGGUGGGCAGUUUGACUGGGGCGGUCGCCUCCUAAAUGGUAACGGAGGCGCGCAAAGGUUCCCUCAGGCUGGUUGGAAAUCAGCCGAAGAGUGUAAAGGCAGAAGGGAGCUUGACUGCAAGAGCAACAAGUCAAACAGGGGCGAAAGCCGGCCUUAGUGAUCCGACGGUUCCGAGUGGAAGGGCCGUCGCUCAACGGAUAAAAGUUA